AUAUAGUCGACGCAUCGCGGUAAAAGUGCCGUGCAACGUCGUGUCGAAGAGGUGUGAGUGAGUGCGAUUCUUGCACAGUUCACUAUGGAUGUUUUGUUGUGGUAGUAAGCGAGUGAGUCGAUGUAGCAAAAAGUAGCGACACAAUUCUUUUCUCGUUUGAAGGAUUGGAGGGUGCUGUGUUUAUUUGUGGGGCUGCUUGGUGCCGGAUUACUGUGUAAGUGGUACAUUUAUAAACAAGCAUCCUCGCGUCAAGUUAACUGUGUGAGGUUGAUGUGUUCUCAGCUCGCGUGUGUUCGUAAAGUAGAUAUCUAGAUCUAGGGCACAGCGACACAUGUUUUAACGUCGUAACAAUUGUGUACGAUACCGUGUGUAAGAGAGGAGAAGGGUAGGAAGGAAUCCCGUCUCCCCCACUCUGGCCUUCCGAAGCUCUUUAAUUUUAAACAUUUUGCCACGAGAUUCAGCAUUACUGUGUUGUUGAUGUUCAGUGGUGUGUGAAGUGGUGUGCUAUGAGCGCUGGUGGCUCAGUUUCGAGUCAUGAUCUCGGGUGUUGAAUCGAGUUCCAACAGCCAACAGGAGCCACUGUUUCAGCUUGUGUUACAUUUGUGUUCGUUUAUAUGUGACUAGAGACGUUUAAUUCACAAGGAGAACAUCUUUUUUGAUGUGGUCAUUUUUGUGUGGAUUAUAUAACAUCGUUUUGAUUUGCUGGAAUUCCGCUGUCCCCUAUCAGGAGUCAGUCUUGCACAUGUGUUACUCUUGACGGACUGCAUUCUUCCCCCCCUUUGUGCUCAGCGCGUUGAUGAACGAAGCCUACCUCGUCAUAUACUAUCCCAGGUCAGAGAGUGCACAGAUAGACCACGUUAGUGCGCACAGUGCGUAACCUUUGGCCUCGUUCGCACGACCUUUUCGUG